UACGGAAGGGGCGAGCGUUGUUCGGAAUCAUUGGGCGUAAAGGGCGCGUAGGUGGUUCUGUAUGUCUACCGUGAAAGCGUACGGCUCAACCGUAUUUUGUCGGUAGAAACUGCAGGACUUGAGGCUGGGAGGGGCUGGUGGAAUUCCCUGUGUAGCGGUGAAAUGCGUAGAGAUGGGGGAGAACACUCGUGGCGAAGGCGGCCGACUGGGCCGACCCUGACGCUGAGGCGCGAAGGCGUGGGGAGCGAACGGG
rnacentral:rRNA from 1 species